rnacentral:lncRNA from 1 species
CUGAAGUAUUAGCUCUGAAUCCCACUCGGUAGUGAAACUAGAUGUUGCUUUAUGAUUUUAAAAAAUUCGCUAUGAUGAACAUGUAUCUUCUUCAUAAGAGAAAGAGUCAAGUUUACUCUGAGUCAUCAUUGCAGAUUUCCUGUGAAGCAGAGGCACCUCUGGGCCCCACCCAGGCCUGGGACCGCCCUGAGCCUGAGCCCCUCACACAGUGCGGCCCCAGCCCUGCCUCGGAGAAGCCCAGGCCAGGAUGAAGCCUGGGACCGGGGGAGGAGUCGGACCGCGGCCCUGGAGCUCAGGAUGCUGCAGCCUGGGGUGUCGGCGUUAUUCCCACGCAUCUCCACAGCUCCCGCCGCACCCACCCCGCGGACCUGCUGGCGGAGCCGGUGGUAUACUGUGAACUGACUUAUGAAACCACCUCUGCAAGGCAAAACAGGCCAUUGGCCACUGGGCCCCGUGAACCUGUCCCUGGGCGUCCGCAUCUCUUCCAUCUUACAGACCGUGUGUCAGCCACCUGCUGCUGUGUGCCUGUGGUGGGACCCUCACUGCAGGGAAUGCUGCAUUCUUGGUGUUUGCUUACACAACGUGUUCCUAUUUCCUUUCCCAAAUCUGCAAGCACUCCUUGCAGAUAAAACAGCUCAGACUGGGAGAGGCCAAGAGAACACGGAGGUCCUGAAGCCCCCUGUGCUUGAGUCAGGAGCCCAGAGGCUGGUGCCACAGCUCCAAGCAGGCAGCACCAAACCUCAGCACCCACAGCCACAGUGUGGAUGACAUCAGUGGCAGGUAAAUUGACUGUACAGUAAGUGUACAAGGCCAGGCACGGUGGCUCAUGCCUGUAAUCCCAGCACUUUCGGAGGCCGAGGCAGGAGGACCACUUGAGUCCAGGAGUUCGAGACCAGCCUGGGCAACAUCGUGAGACCCCCAUCUCUACAAAACAUACAAAAUUAGCUGGGUAUGGUGGCACAUGCCUGUGAUCCCAGCUACUCGGGAGGCUGAGGUGGAGGGAUCACCUGAACCCAGGAGACUGAGGCUGCAGUGAGCUGUGAUGAGGCCACUACGUUCCAGCCUGGAUGACAGACAUAUAUAACAACUAUAUUGUGAGCAACUUUGUCUUCCCACGGUACAAACUGAAAUAUCUUUGGCAAAUACGUAUCCGACUAUACUGUGAAGAAAUAUUGACGUGAAAAAAGAACGCGGAGAUCUGAUAAAGCAACAAUUCAGCUCACGGCGAGGUCCUCUGCAGGAGGCGGUUGGUGGGAAGAGGCGAGUGAGCCUGCCCGUGCGUCCCGCAUGGAGACGUCUGGAUUGGAAACUACCGAAAGAUGUUUCAAGGAACUCUCCCUGGGUGACACGCUGGUUUUCAGACGUUUGAUUCAGCUGCUGCAGUUUCCUCCUCCCUGACACGGGAA